GAAUUUUGGACAAUGGGCGAAAGCCUGAUCCAGCAAUGCCGCGUGCAGGAUGAAGGCCUUCGGGUUGUAAACUGCUUUUGUACGGAACGAAAAGCUUUGGGUUAAUACCCUGGUGUCAUGACGGUACCGUAAGAAUCAGCACCGGCGAACUACGUGCCAGCAGCCGCGGGAAUACGGAGGGUGCAAGCGUUAAUCGGAAUUACUUGGCGGAAAGCGUGCGCAGGCGGUUUUGGAAGGCAGAGGUGAAAUCCCCGGGCUCAACCUGGGAACUGCCGUUGUGACUGGAAGGCUAGAGUACGGCAGAGGGGGGUGGAAUUCCGCGUGUAGCAGUGAAAUGCGUAGAUAUGCGGAGGAACACCGAUGGCGAAGGCAACCCCCUGGGCCUGUACUGACGCUCAUGCACGAAAGCGUGGGGAGCAAACA
rnacentral:rRNA from 1 species